AUUGAACGCUGGCGGCAUGCCUUACACAUGCAAGUCGAACGGCAGCACGGGAGCAAUCCUGGUGGCGAGUGGCGAACGGGUGAGUAAUAUAUCGGAACGUGCCCAGUCGUGGGGAUAACGUAGCGAAAGCUACGCUAAUACCGCAUACGAUCUAUGGAUGAAAAGCGGGGGGAUCGCAAGACCUCGCGCGAUUGGAGCGGCCGAUAUCAGAUUAGGUAGUUGGUGAGGUAAAAGGCUCACCAAGCCGACGAUCUGUAGCUGGUCUGAGAGGACGACCAGCCACACUGGGACUGAGACACGGCCCAGACUCCUACGGGGAGGCAGCAGUGAGGAAUAUUGGUCAAUGGACGCAAGUCUGAACCAGCCAUAGCCGCGUGCAGGAUGACGGUCCUAUGGAUUGUAAACUGCUUUUGUUACGAGAAAGAACAAACA
rnacentral:rRNA from 1 species